GACGAACGCUGGCGGCGUGCUUAACACAUGCAAGUCGAACGGAAAGGCCCUGCUUUUGUGGGGUGCUCGAGUGGCGAACGGGUGAGUAAAACGUGAGUAACCUGCCCUUGACUUUGGGAUAACUUCAGGAAACUGGGGCUAAUAUCGGAUAGGAGCUACUGCUGCAUGGUGGGGGUUGGAAAGUUUCGGCGGUUGGGGCUGGACUGGCGGCUUAUCAGCUGGUUGGUGGGGUAGUGGAUGACAAAGGCUUUGACGGCUAGCCGGCCUGGGAGGUUGGCCGGCCUCAUUGGUACUGAGAGACGGCGCAGACUCCUACGGGCCGCAGCGGUGGGGAGUAUUGCACAGUGGGCGGAAGCCAGAGGCAGCGACGCCCCGUUCGGGAUGACGGCCUUCGGGUUAUGAACCGCUUUCGCCUGUGACAAAGCGUGCGUGACGGUACUGAGUAAAAAAGCACCGGCUAACUACGUG
rnacentral:rRNA from 1 species